AUACGAAAGGUGCAAGCGUUACUCGGAAUCACUGGGCGUAAAGCGCGCGCAGGCGGCUUGAUAAGGUGGAUGUGAAAGCCUACGGCUCAACCGUAGAACUGCAUCCAAAACUGUCAGGCUAGAGUGUGGGAGAGGAAGAUGGAAUUAGUUGUGUAGGGGUAAAAUCCGUAGAGAUAACUAGGAAUACCAAAAGCGAAGGCAAUCUUCUGGAACACUACUGACGCUGAGGCGCGAAGGCGUGGGGAGCAAACAGGAUUAGAAACCCGGGUAGUCC
rnacentral:rRNA from 1 species